CGGAUUAAAAUCUAGUAUACC
rnacentral:snRNA from 1 species